GGGUAUAUAACUCAGUAGAGUGCGUGCUUAGCAUGCAUGAGGUCCUGGGUUCAAGCCCCAGAACCUCCA
rnacentral:tRNA from 1 species